CCUACGGGAGGCAGCAGUGGGGAAUCUUGCGCAAUGGGGGCAACCCUGACGCAGCCAUACCGCGUGAGUGAUGAAGGUCUUCGGAUUGUAAAGCUCUUUCGGCGGGGACGCGGUACCCGCAAAAGAAGUCACGGCUAACUUCGUGCCAGCAGCCGCGGUAAUACGAAGGUGGCGAAUGUUGCUCGGAUUCACUGGGCGUAAAGCGUCUGUAGGUGGCUUGUUAAGUUAGAGGUGAAAGCCCCGCGCUCAACGUGGGAACUGCCUUUAAAACUGGCGAGCUUGAGAGUAUCAGAGGAAGGCGGAAUAACUGGUGUAGAGGUAAAAUUCAUAGAUAUCAGUUGGAACAUCCAUGGCGAAGGCAGCUUUCUGGUAUUUCUGACACUGAGAGACGACAGCGUGGGGAGCAAACAGGAUUAGAUACCCUAGUAGUC
rnacentral:rRNA from 1 species